UCCACUCCGGUGCAAACCCUAGUCUUCUCUUUCUCGAUGUUUUCUCUCUCCUUAGGCGAACCGCCGCUUUGUUCCCCUCUUCUUCCGCCACUGUCAUCGCCGCCGUCAAAUCGUCGGAUGAGAUCCACUGUAUUGACGCCCUCACCGCCGUCAAAUCGUCGGACGAGAUUUUUGUCGAAGUUUGGCGAUUUUCAUCUCUCUCUCACGAAAUUGAUGAAUUUUCAGCCUCCCUGUGCCUGAAGAAGUGGAAUGGCUGAAUAAGUACCAUUACAGAUGCAGAGGAAUUUUGGCUCCGUUUCUCGAUACUUAUGAGAUGGAAUGGCUCAAGAAAGCUACUGAACAUGUUCUAAUCACACCAAGCCCCAGAUCUAUUUUCUUAUGUUUAUUUAUUUAUUUAUUUUACUAUUACUUUUUUUAAAUAUGGAUUUUCUUAUCUGAUUUGCUUCUUGAACCAAUGGGUUCUUUAAUUUGCUUUAA